GCAGUCGAACGAAGUCUUCGGACUUAGUGGCGCACGGGUGAGUAACAUGGUGGGAAUCUACCUAAAGGUUCGGAAUAACUGCGGGAAACUGUAGCUAAUACCGGAUGUGUCUGCAAAGAGAAAGAUUUAUCGCCUUUAGAUGAGCCCGCACUAGAUUAGCUAGUUGGUGAGGUAACUGCUCCACCAAGGCUACGAUCUAUAGCUGAUUUGAGAGGAUGAUCAGCCACACUGGGACUGAGACACGGCCCAGACUCCUACGGGAGGCAGCAGUAGGGAAUAUUGGACAAUGGGGGAAACCCUGAUCCAGCAAUGCCGCGUGAGUGAAGAAGGCCCUCGGGUUGUAAAACUCUUUCAUCAAUGAUGAUAAUGACAUUAGUUGAAGAAGAAGCUCCGGCUAACUUCGUGCCAGCAGCCGCGGUAAUACGAAGGGGGCUAGCGUUGUUCGGAAUCACUGGGCGUAAAGCGUAUGUAGGCGGAUCAAAAAGUUAGAUGUGAAAUCCCUGGGCUCAACCCAGGAACUGCAUUUAAAACUAGUGAUCUAGAAUUUGGUAAGGGUUAGUAGAAUUUCCAGUGUAGAGGUGAAAUUCGUAGAUAUUGGAAAGAAUACCAGAAGCGAAGGCGACUAACUAGGCCAUUUUUGACGCUGAGAUACGAAAGCGUGGGUAGCAAACAGGAUUAGAUACCCUGGUAGUCCACGCAGUAAACGAUGAGUGCUAGUCGCUGGUACAAUAGUAUCAGUGUCGUAGCUAACGCAUUAAGCACUCCGCCUGGGAAGUACGGUCGCAAGAUUAAAACUCAAAUAAAUUGACGGGGGCCCGCACAAGCGGUGGAGCAUGUGGUUUAAUUCGAAAGCACGCGAAGAACCUUACCAGACCUUGACAUGGUAUGUGUGAAUUACAGAAUCGUAAU
rnacentral:rRNA from 1 species